UGCAUUAUGGACAUCCGCAGUUCAAGGAUGGUAAGUAGAUAAAUCAGAAAGACGUUUUUAUCGUUUCUUCCUGACUUAUACGCUUACCUCACAGGUUGGUACUGGAUCGAUCCGAACUU
rnacentral:precursor_RNA from 11 species